UUUUUCUUGCUAAAGAAGGGAGAAAAUGAAUCAGAGGUGAAAGGGAAUAUACUUUCUAGGAUUAAUGGUCCAACAAUUCGAGUAAAACAGGAUAUUACUCAUUUGGAAUGUUCUAGAGGGAGUAAAAUUAUUGAAUAAGUCUUCUUAAGAGAAGACUUACUCUUAGGAUGAUUGGUUUCAGGAUAAAUGGGUUCUAAACAAAGAAUUAGGAACUUAAUAUGUAAUGAUUGGUUCUCCUCUUUUAUAACCGAUAACCAAGUAGUUGACCCAGGAACCAGCCUACUUUUAUUUUUUUGAUUUAUUUUUCCAUAAAUUGAUCUAGGAUCUUCAAACAUAGAGAAACCUCACAAUGCAUUAAAAAAAUAGAAUGGUCUAUGAAUUCAACCGAAAUGUGGCAAAUUUACGUGCAACAGAGUCUAGUGUACUUGCAGACCUACUUGCUCUAGUUCAACAAAAGAUCAGUACUAAAUUACGAUGCAACUAAGAAUCAGAUAGGAAGGCCAUCAUAGGAUUAGCCACAUCUAAAGUCGAAAACAAAAGGCUUUCCUUUUUUCACUGAAGUGAAAUCUAAGCUGGGCACAUACCUCGUCAAUAGGCAACAAUGACUCCAAAAGAGAGAAUAGAAGACCCUCCUCUGCUAUUCAGCAACCACCCCACAUCCCCAAUAGACAAAAAGAGCCCAGAGCACACUUAGUUCAGCCAAUUAUUCCAAUAAUGAAGUGACAAAAUCAAAAUAAACGGGAUGCUAAUAAGAAUGAAAAAGUGAUUACCACAAGUGAGCUGAGAUGCGAAGAGAGGCACGAGACCGGAGAGAGAGGAGACCGUAAACAAGCCUGGGCGAGAACUUUCAAGAGGGAUAAAGAACAAAGAAAGCGAGUGAGGACUAAUCAGUAGACGAUAGUCUCGAAAUGUUCUGCAAGAGAGAGGCCGAAUGCGAAUAAUAAAGUGAGAAACGAGAGAGAGAGAGAGAGAGAGAGAGAGAGAGAGGACCAAUUAGUAGCAGGCGAUAGUCUCGAAUUAUAAUUGAUGGACCGAUAUCCUCAUAUGGCUGACUGACUAGUAGCAAUAAAAUUGUUUUCAGGUGGCAAGCUAAGUCAAGCCACACAAUUUGGACCAAAGUACAGAAUGACCGCUUCUGUUCAUAUCUACUUAGAAACCAUUUUGUUAAACUGAUAAAUGUGGCUCUAACUGACAUUAGAAUCUUCCAUUAUACUAUUUUCAAAGACAUUCUUAAGCCUGUAAAUGCUAAAUUCUCCUCCCAUCCUAAACAUGCAUAAAUCAUAUUGUUGAAUUCAUUGUAAGUCGGUAAUUUCCUAUGCUAUAUAUAUAUAUGUAAAAGUCAUGUCUUUGCUCUAAGCAGUAAAAUCGCAUGAAAACCACACUUUAUCAUGAGUUUCUCUAAUACAAUCCGCAAAGAUAAAGUCCACCUAAAAAUUGUCCACAUAUCAAACAUGCGUAAGUACGUUGAAAGCAGCAGCUUUGCUCACUUUCAAGCUUUCCAUUGUAACCAGCACAAAAAAUAGUACGAUUGUGAAUUUUUCAUAAUUUCCGGAAGACAUGAAUUUUCUGUCAUUUUUCCAGAAAUUACGGAAAUUGUCGAUAAAACGGAAAAUGGUAUUAUGGACAUCCAAAAAUUUUCUAGUUGAUCUGACCUGUUCGAAAUUUUUUUUGUUGUUGAUAAUUCUCAUCCAUAGCCUGUGAAAGGUUUUGUGCAAUUAUAGAAGGAAAUAGACUAGCACCAUCGAUAUUUGGAAAAUAUAGAUUUUUUAACUAUUUUCAAGAAAAAAAAAUAUUUUCACAAAAACUGAGUAUUUUGGAUCUUUCAUGCUUAAAGUAAUUUUGGACAAUUGUUGUAUGUAUAAGGCCAAUGGACCAAAAUUGAGUCUAGAAGGGUAUUUUUCGCAAUUUUUAUCAAGCAGGCUUUUUUGUCCCAAGAGUUCAGUUAACCAUUAAUGUUUUGAAAACAACGUCAAGAUAAGGGCCAGCAUGUGAUUCCACCAGAUUCAACCAGUCUAACCAUUCAUAAUGGUUUUUUUUUUUUUUUGGUUCAAAAUAACCAAUUAAUUUAAAUGAGAAUAUUUUAAUAAGAAAAAUUAGCAAUAUAUGUGAUGAUGAUUUUGAAAAAAAUCGAGGGAAUUUCACAAGAAAUAUUUUGUAUGCCUUAAAGGAUGUUAGGCAUUAGGCCAUGAGUAAAAAUCGAAUAUAUUUGUGUCCUAUCAAUUGUAAUAGAUACGAGAAUGAAGGUCUGGCUUACCUUGAGGAGCGAUGCAGAGAUGAAAUUACUGUGAUGGUUUUUAGUAUUUGAGAGGAAGUCGCCUUUAAGUAGAUCAAGUUGUGUUCGAGUCUUGAAAGACAGUACAAUCCGAGGAUCACCUUCACACCUCAGCCUCAAGCUAUAAAACCAAAUAUAUCUCAGAACAAAAAUGAGUCUCAAUGAUUUAUGGUGAUUGGUGUUUCUCCUCUUCAAGCACAAGCACUUGGGACUUUAUAUUUUAAUUUUGUUUAAAAUUGUCAUAUUCUUAAUGAGGUUGGAAAUGUGAGGUAGAGAUAAACAAAUGCUCGUGGUUAUUUAUCUUUUAUCUAUUUCACACUGGCACCACAUGCUACAAUUCCAUGUAAAAUGAAAUUAUUUUGAAUUAGUAUGCUAUCACCGAGCCUUUUAAUUCAAACUUUCAAAUCUAAAAAAUUAAUUGAUAUCUCGUCUAUAAAAUAGAGCUAUUGGAUGGCACCAAAUGGAGGAGCGGUGCUCCCUUAAUGCUCUCUUUUUAUGCACUCUUUUUUUCUUCUUAUUGAGAUUAUUGAAUACAAGCAUAAAGACACAAGAAGCACCGCAAAGGAACGACCUGAAAUGGAAGUAGAAUAGGAUAAUUGGCUAAAUUUGUGAUAAUUCAGGUUAAAUUGAUUAAUCACAUUUUGAAGAACGAAUUUAUUGUUUGUAAAGAAAGAGGUGUAAGAAAUGAGCGAUAUAAAGCUAGGUGACUCUCCUAANNNNNNNNNNNNNNNNNNNNNNNNNNNNNNNNNNNNNNNNNNNNNNNNNNNNNNNNNNNNNNNNNNNNNNNNNNNNNNNNNNNNNNNNNNNNNNNNNNNNAUUUCUAUUUUUUUCUUAAUAUAAGGAUAUCAUGUAAAAGAUCCUAGGAAGUAUCAUACUAUGGACUUUAGCAUGUUUUAUAUUGCGAUGAUUGAAAUUGUCAUGAGUUGUGAGCAAGUAAAAUGUAGCGAUAUAGUUAAAAUGCUCAAACUCUCACCGUACUUUUUAAUUCUUCAUUUACUUUUCUUUUUUUCAAGUAAAGACUCGGUCAAUUUUUUAAGCUUUGAAGUGAGAAAAUGAUUUUUAUUUUUUAUUUUUUCUUGCUAAAGAAGGGAGAAAAUGAAUCAGAGGUGAAAGGGAAUAUACUUUCUAGGAUUAAUGGUCCAACAAUUCGAGUAAAACAGGAUAUUACUCAUUUGGAAUGUUCUAGAGGGAGUAAAAUUAUUGAAUAAGUCUUCUUAAGAGAAGACUUACUCUUAGGAUGAUUGGUUUCAGGAUAAAUGGGUUCUAAACAAAGAAUUAGGAAC
rnacentral:lncRNA from 1 species